rnacentral:tRNA from 1 species
UAGCUUAACUGGUAAAGCACCGCCCAUGUUGGCGGACAGAUGCGGGUUCGAAUCCCGC